GAUGAACGCUGGCGGCGUGCCUAAUACAUGCAAGUCGAACGGAAAGGCCCUGCUCUUGCUGGUCUCUCGUUUGCCGAACGGGUGAGUAACACGCGUGUAACCUGUCCCUGACUUUGGGAUAACUUUAGGAAAAUGGGGCUAAUAUCGGAUAUGAGCUCCUGCUGCACGGUGGGGGUUGGUAAGUUACGGCGUUUGUGGCUGGACUCGCGGCGUAUCAGCUUGUUGGUAAGGUAGUGGAUUACCAAGGGUAUGAUGGGUAGCCGACCUGAGAGGGGGAUCGGCCACACUGGAACUGAGACACGGUCCAGACUACUACGGGAGGCAGCAGUAGGGAAGCGUCCGCAAUGGGCGAAAGCCUGACGGAGCAACGCCGCGUGAGUGAUGAAGGUCUUCGGAUCGUAAAACUCUGUUAUUAGGGAAGAACAAAUGUGUAAGUAACUAUGCACGUCUUGACGGUACCUAAUCAGAAAGCCACGGCUAACUACGUG
rnacentral:rRNA from 1 species